rnacentral:rRNA from 1 species
UGGGGAAUAUUGCACAAUGGAGGGAACUCUGAUGCAGCAACGCCGCGUGCGGGAUGACGGCCUUCGGGUUGUAAACCGCUUUCAGCCAUGACGAAGCUUUUGUGACGGUAGUGGUAGAAGAAGCACCGGCUAACUAUGUGCCAGCAGCCGCGGUGAUACGUAGGGUGCGAGCGUUGUCCGGAAUUAUUGGGCGUAAAGAGCUUGUAGGCGGUUUGUCGCGUCGAUAGUGUAAACACGCAGCUUAACUGUGUGCCUGCUGUCGAUACGGGCUGACUAGAGGAGGGUAGGGGAGAAUGGAAUUCCCGGUGGAGCGGUGGAAUGCGCAGAUAUCGGGAGGAACACCAGUGGCGAAGGCGGUUCUCUGGACCUUUCCUGACGCUGAGAAGCGAAAGCGUGGGUAGCAAACAGG